CCCACUGUGUGCGCAGUGGUUAGCGCUCUUGCCUCACAGCAAGAAGGCCCCUGGUUCAAGUCCCGGCUGGGGGA
rfam:Oryzias latipes DNA, chromosome13, strain: Hd-rR.